GCCUAUGGCCAUGCCACUCUGAGAAUGCGCGAUCUCAUCUGCUCUCAGAAGCUAAGAAGGGUUGGGCCUGCUUAGUGCUUGGAUGGGAGACUGCCUGGGAAUACUGGGUGCUAUGGGCU
rnacentral:rRNA from 1 species